UGGGGAAUCUUGGACAAUGGGGGCAACCCUGAUCCAGCCAUGCCGCGUGGACGAUGAAGGCCCUAGGGUUGUAAAGUCCUUUCACCGGUGAAGAUAAUGACGGUAGCCGGAGAAGAAACCCCGGCUAACUCCGUGCCAGCAGCCGCGGUAAUACGGAGGGGACUAGCGUUGUUCGGAAUUACUGGGCGUAAAGAGUUCGUAGGCGGACUAGCAAGUUAGAGGUGAAAUCCCAGGGCUCAACCUUGGAACUGCCUUUAAAACUAUUGGUCUAGAGUUCGAGAGAGGUGAGUGGAAUUCCAAGUGUAGAGGUGAAAUUCGUAGAUAUUUGGAGGAACACCAGUGGCGAAGGCGGCUCACUGGCUCGAUACUGACGCUGAGGUGCGAAAGUGUGGGGAGCAAACAGGAUUAGAUACCCUGGUAGUCCACACCGUAAACGAUGAAUGCCAGUCGUCGGGUAGCAUGCUAUUCGGUGACACACCUAACGGAUUAAGCAUUCCGCCUGGGGAGUACGGUCGC
rnacentral:rRNA from 1 species